CAUAAGAUUAGUACCACAUAGCCCAGGUAUGUAGUAGGCUAUAUCACCUAGGUUUGUGUAAGGACACUCUGUGAUGUUCACACAACGAUGAAAUCACCUACUGAUCCAUUUCUCAGAACUUAUCUGUGUCCUUAGGUGACGCAUGGCUGUAUUUCCCUCUGUUCCGCAUACAAUGGCGCAACCUACCAAACCCCUUCACCUUUCCUCCCUCCUCAGAAGAUAAAGCCAAGAAGGAAAAAAGAAGAAAAGAGAGAAAAGGAAAUGAAAAAGGAGGGAAGAUGAGACAAGUAUGGUCGUAUAUUGAGUUCCGGAGUCUGGCUGAUAAUUAUAUGGGAGGCAGGAAGCUUUGAGGAGGAAUCAAAACUAGAGACAACUUGGUCGUAGAGUGUACCAAAGAAAUGAACAUGAAACCCAAAGAAAUUGUUGGCUAGUUGUAUUCCACUUCAGGCUAAACUCCUUGACCCUCAGGAGGUCUCCAUCUCUCUCUUUUAUCUUGAAGUCUACUCCAGGAACAACAACAACAAAAAGGAAGCUUGGAUUUGUGAAAGAGAAUCUGAUUUUUUACAAGGAAGGAAGUAAUAUUAGAAGACAUUGGUUCGCUAAAUUAUCUGGCCCUUUGUUACCUCUUAUAAUACAGCAGAGGCCCAUUCAGGAGAAAAAAGAAAACUGAAUUUCUUCAUCUAACAAAGUUAGAUGAAAGCCAAACUUAAAAAUCUUAGAACCAUGAAGUCUAAUGUUGUGAUGUCCAAGAGUGAUAUCUAAUCUGAGACAACUGUCCAUUUCACCAGGAAUGAUGUUCCACAUGAAGUUCUGACAAAUGGAAGUCUCUAAGUGCUGAGGAACCUAAAGUCUCAUAUGUGGGUAAUCAUAUAGCCCUCAAAUUAGGAUUGCUAGAUAAAAUGCAGGAUGCCCUGUAUCAACCUACAAAAGCAGAAACCAGUUUAAGAAUCAAGGUGUUUAUCUGGGAUCAAAGAAUUGCAAUUCAGGGAGCAUAGAUUCAGGCUGAAGCCCAAAUAGUGUCUCAAUUACAGGGUAAAAGAUGGGGGUUUUAUGAGUAAAGGAAAGAGGUAAUUAAAUGAAAAGAAGAG
rnacentral:lncRNA from 1 species